rnacentral:tRNA from 1 species
GGGCCUAUAGCUCAGUUGUUUAGAGCACCUGACUCAUAAUCAGGGGGUGCCUGGUUCGAGCCCAGGUGGGCCCA